ensembl:snRNA Gm27521 predicted gene, 27521
AAUUUAUUACAGCUCUUUUAUAAUUUUGUCCAGCAGGUUAUCUGAUUUUGAUCAGAAAACCCAU